UACAGAGGGGGCAAGCGUUAUUCGGAAUUAUUGGGCGUAAAGGGCGCGUAGGCGGCCUGGCAAGUGGAAGGUGAAAUCCCUCGGCUUAACCGAGGAACUGCCCUCCAAACUGCUUGGCUUGAGACCGGGAGAGGUGAGUGGAAUUCCCAGUGUAGCGGUGAAAUGCGUAGAUAUUGGGAGGAACACCAGUGGCGAAGGCGGCUCACUGGACCGGUACUGACGCUGAGGCGUGAAAGCGUGGGGAGCAAACGGG
rnacentral:rRNA from 1 species